rnacentral:rRNA from 1 species
GGGGAUAACACUUGGAAACAGGUGCUAAUACCGCAUAACCAUAGUUACCGCAUGGUAACUAUGUAAAAGGUGGCUAUGCUACCGCUUUUGGAUGGGCCCGCGGCGCAUUAGCUAGUUGGUGGGGUAAAGGCUUACCAAGGCAAUGAUGCGUAGCCGAACUGAGAGGUUGAUCGGCCACAUUGGGACUGAGACACGGCCCAAACUCCUACGGGAGGCAGCAGUAGGGAAUCUUCCACAAUGGGCGAAAGCCUGAUGGAGCAACGCCGCGUGGGUGAAGAAGGUCUUCGGAUCGUAAAACCCUGUUGUUAGAGAAGAAAGUGCGUGAGAGUAACUGUUCACGUUUCGACGGUAUCUAACCAGAAAGCCACGGCUAACUACGUGCCAGCAGCCGCGGUAAUACGUAGGUGGCAAGCGUUAUCCGGAUUUAUUGGGCGUAAAGGGAACGCAGGCGGUCUUUUAAGUCUGAUGUGAAAGCCUUCGGCUUAACCGGAGUAGUGCAUUGGAAACUGGGAGACUUGAGUGCAGAAGAGGAGAGUGGAACUCCAUGUGUAGCGGUGAAAUGCGUAGAUAUAUGGAAGAACACCAGUGGCGAAAGCGGCUCUCUGGUCUGUAACUGACGCUGAGGUUCGAAAGCGUGGGUAGCAAACAGGAUUAGAUACCCUGGUAGUCCACGCCGUAAACGACGAA